ensembl:snRNA U4 U4 spliceosomal RNA
AGAUUUGCGCAGUGGCAGUAUCGUAGCCAAUGAGGUUUAUCUGAGGCGCGAUUAUUGCUAAUUGAAAAAUAGGUCCACAAAUUCUUUGAUAUUUCUCCCUUCGAGAGAUGAAGCUAAUGGGCUAGACUUGGGGACU